GAUGAAGAACGUAGCGAAAUGCGAUAAGUAAUGCGAAUUGCAGAAUUCAGUGAGUCAUCGAAUCUUUGAACGCACAUUGCGCCCUGUGGUAUUCCGCAGGGCAUGCCUGUUCGAGCGUCAUUUCAACCCUCAAGCUCUGCUUGGUGUCGGGCCCUGCCCGCUGCGGCCGGCCCUAAAGACAGUGGCGGUGCCGCCUGGCCCUGAGCGUAGUACAUCUCUCGCUCCAGUGCCCGGUGGUAGCCUGCCAGAACCCCAACUCUCGUGGUUGACCUCGGAUCAGGUAGGGAUACCCGCUGAACUUAAGCAUAUCAAUAAGCGGAGGA
rnacentral:misc_RNA from 1 species